GAUGAACGCUGGCGGCGUGCCUAAUACAUGCAAGUCGAGCGAACAGACGAGGAGCUUGCUCCUCUGACGUUAGCGGCGGACGGGUGAGUAAACCGUGGAUAACCUACCUAUCAGCCUGGGAUAACUUCGGGAAACCGGAGCUAAUACCGGAUAAUAUAUUGAACCGCAUGGUGCAAUAGUGAAAGACGGUUUUGCUGUCACUUAUAGAUGGAUCCGCGCCGCAUUAGCUGGUUGGUAAGGUAACGGCUUACCAAGGCAACGAUGCGUAGCCGACCUGAGAGGGUGAUCGGCCGCACUGGAACUGAGACACGGUCCAGACUCCCACGGGAGGCAGCAGUAUGGAAUCUUCCGCAAUGGGCGAAAGCGUGACGGAGCAACGCCGCGUGAGUGAUGAAGGGCUCCGGAUCGUAAAACUCUGUUAUUAGGGAAGAACAAAUGUGUAAGUAACUAUGCACGUCUUGACGGUACCUAAUCAGAAAGCCACGGCUAACUACGUG
rnacentral:rRNA from 1 species